GGGCCCGCACAAGCAGCGGAGCGUGUGGUUUAAUUCGAUGUUACACGAAGAACCUUACCAGGGUUUGACAUGUAGGUGGUAGUGAAGCGAAAGCGGAACGACUCUUCGGAGAGCCUGCACAGGUGCUGCAUGGCUGUCGUCAGCUCGUGUCGUGAGAUGUUCGGUUAAGUCCGCUAACGAGCGCAACCCCUGCUGUGUGUUACAAGUGUCACACGGGACUGCCGGUCUUAAGCCGGAGGAAGGUGGGGAUGACGUCAAGUCAGCAUGGCCUUUAUAUCCUGGGCUACACACACGCUACAAUGGGUGGUACAACAGGUUGCGAAACCGCGAGGUGGAGCCAAUCCUUAAAGCCAUCCUCAGUUCAGAUUGUAGGCUGCAACUCGCCUGCAUGAAGAUGGAGUUGCUAGUAACCGCAGGUCAGCUAUACUGCGGUGAAUACGUUCCCGGGCCUU
rnacentral:rRNA from 1 species